CCGCCGGACUUCUGCAACAAGGCGCGGCACGCCACGUACAGCCAGAACCAGACGGGCUUCCAGUCGGAGGUGGCUCUCGAGUACUGCGAGCUCUCGGCUGAAUGGGGCAUUAGCUGCAUCACGCCGAUCGAGUGCUGGACGCAGAAAGACGGGUACAGAGCGUGCGUCGGCAAAUGAGUUAUUCGGGAUCGUUGUGGCGCAAAGUCAUGCCGACCUAUGGUUCCGGGCGCUCUCCCGUCCACCUUACAUGUUUGGAUGGUUUCACUAUAAGCAUGCCACUUUGGCUGAUUUGCAAAUGACUUGUGAUAUUCCUUGAUUGGAAAAUUGAUAGUUAUUAUUAAACGAAGGGAGGCCUCAAACACAGAA